rnacentral:rRNA from 1 species
CUACGGGUCGCAGCAGUGAGGAAUAUUGCACAAUGGGGGGAACCCUGAUGCAGCAACGCCGCGUGGAGGAUGACGCAUUUCGGUGUGUAAACUCCUUUUAUAUGUCAAGAAAAUGACGGUAGCAUAUGAAUAAGCACCGGCUAACUCCGUGCCAGCAGCCGCGGUAAUACAGAGGGUGCAAGCGUUACUCGGAAUCACUGGGCGUAAAGGACGCGUAGGCGGGUUGGAAAGUCAGGUGUGAAAUCCUACAGCUUAACUGUAGAACUGCACUUGAAACUUCUAAUCUAGAGUAUGGGAGGGGGAGAUGGAAUUAGUGGUGUAGGGGUAAAAUCCGUAGAUAUCACUAGGAAUACCUAAAGCGAAGGCGAUCUCCUGGAACAUUACUGACGCUAAGGCGUGAAAGCGUGGGGAACAAACAGGAUUAGAUACCCCAGUAGUC